GCCUCUCCCGUGGUGCCCGUCACAGGGAGCACCACUUUGUGACGGCCCCUGGUGGGCUCCUUCCCCAUGUCCCACAGGGUUUCUGUCCAAGAGAUGCACAAAGACCAUGAAGAGCAGCUCCAGCGGCUGAAGCAGCUGAAAGAUCAGGAGAUCGACACAGUGACUAGUGCUGCUUCGCACGCCAGGUCUCUGAAUGGCGUCACUGAGCAGAUGGAGAAGUUCUCCAUUGACGUGCACAACCUUUUGCACAAGGUGGAGGCCAUGCACCACAGUACCUCCCAGGAGCUGGCCCUGGGGGCACAGCAUCGCGACCAGCAGCUCAAGGUGCUCCAGGACUGGAUGUCACAGCAGCAGAGGGACAUGGAGGAGGAGCGGAGCCGGCUGCAGGAGGUGAUUGCCAGAAUGGAGACCAGGCUGGUUGGCAAACAUGAAUUAAUUGGGCAUAAAAGUUGCAGUGAAGAUCCUCAGUCGACAGAAGAUUCACAGCCUUGAUGUUGUAGGAAAAAUCCUCAGGGCGAUUCAGAGCCUGAAACUCUUCAGGCGCCCUCAUAUAAUGAAACUGUACCAGGUCAUCAGUACUCUAACUGACAUUUUCAUGGUGGUGGAAUACGUUUCAGGAGGAGAACUGCUUGAUUAUAUAUGUAAAAAUGGAAGGGUAAGAAGUAGUCAAACUCUACAAAUUAAUGACUUGCAUUCUGUUAUUGCUUUUGUAAUGUUCCUGUGACACUUGAAACUGAGGGACAGACGGGUUCUUUUGGGGGAUCCUUAGCAGAAUUAUAUAAAUAAAGCCUUAUUUUUUUUUUUUAACAGGGUAUCAUGGUUAGUAUAGCACGGAAUUUCUGCAAACAGAAUCAAUGCAGUAUAAUUUACAAGUAGCAUAAUACAGAAUUUAUAAUAAAACUUAACAUUUGAUUUCUAAUCGCCUGGACCAUCUGCAGAUUGUGUCACAUCUUAAUACAUGGUUUACUAUAUCAAUAUAACAAUCGCAGUCUGGACUUAAUCCUGUGAAACAAUGAGUCACUCACUCGAUCCUGGAGGAAGGAGACAAUGGUGGUGACGUCCCUGGCCUUGGGAGGUUUCGGGUCUGGCUGUCUAGCAGCAAUCCUGGUCCAGGUUCCCCACUUCAGACUUGAUUUUAUGGCCAGUGCUCUCUGUGCUGUUACAUUUCCCUGUUCUGUGACGGGGUCAUCACCACCACCUGGUUGGCUGUGUACCUGGGGCCUUCGAGGCUGCUGAGGAAGGGGGUAAUGAGUCUGGCACGCAGGAACCUUGAGGCUGGUUGGGAAGGGAAAAAGAAAUCUGUUUGGUUGGUUUACUUGGUUCGCAGGACCUUCACAGCCUGAUAACGUGGGAAAGGGAAGAAAUACAUGCCUCAGUCACAGAAUGACCGUUUGCCUCCUAAAAUGGUAUGAGCUGUGCUGACCACAUUACCAGGCACCAGGAGCAGGCGCUUGAUUGGAAUGCAGGUAGACGUGUGUUCCAGCAAAUCCUUUCUGGCAUGGCUUGCUGUCGCAGGCAUACGGUGGUAUGCAGAGAUCCGAAGGCUGAAAAUGUGCUGCUUGAUGCACACAUGAAUGCCAAGAGAGCUGACUUUGCUGUUUCUGACAGAGUGGCUGAGAAGACUGGCAGCUAGAUUUUGGAGCUGUCUGAAUUGGGAAUCCUCACCAAUAAACAUAGUAAGGGAUCUGUACUGCUACGAUAUCACGAUAUACCUCGUGUAGACGUAGUGGAUAAUACCUGACCUUGUA